GACGAACGCUGGCGGCGUGCUUAACACAUGCAAGUCGAACGGAAAGGCCCUGCUUGCAGGGUGCUCGAGUGGCGAACGGGUGAGUAACACGUGGGUGAUCUGCCCCUUACUUUGGGAUAAGCCUGGGAAACUGGGUCUAAUACUGGAUAGGACCAUGCUGUAGGUGGUGUGGUGGAAAGAUUAGUUUCGGUAAGGGAUGAGCUCGCGGCCUAUCAGCUUGUUGGUGGGGUAAUGGCCUACCAAGGCGUCGACGGGUAGCCGGCCUGAGAGGGUGGACGGCCACAUUGGGACUGAGAUACGGCGCAGACUCCUACGGGAGGCAGCAGUGGGGAAUAUUGCACAAUGGGCGCAAGGCUGAUGCAGCGACGCCGCGUGGGGGAUGACGGCCUUCGGGUUGUAAACUCCUUUCAGCCAUGACGAAGCCCUUGUGGUGACGGUAGUGGUAGAAGAAGCACCGGCUAACUACGUG
rnacentral:rRNA from 1 species